GGGAAGGAUGAGAAGCUUCGACCAGGGUUCGAUUCGAGCGCAGCGAGAAAGCGUUGCCGCAGGCAACGACCCGAAGGGCGAAGCGCGCAGCGCUGAGUCAUCCUUCCCCCACCACCA
rnacentral:sRNA from 1 species